rnacentral:rRNA from 1 species
UCGGUUAGUCGGCACGAGCGCACCCUGUCUCUAGUUGCCAGCAUUUCGGAUGGGCACUUUAUAGAGACUCCCGGUGUCAAACCGGAGGAAGAUGGGGAUGACGUCAAGUCCUCAUGGCCCUUAUGGUCGGGGCUACACACGUACUAUAAUGGCGCGUACAAAGGGAAGCAAUACCGCGAGGUGGAGCCAAUCCCAAAAAAGGCGCCUCAGUUCGGAUUGGAGUCUGCAACUCGACUCCAUGAAGUCGGAAUCGCUAGUAAUCGUGGAUCAGCAUGCCACGGUGAAUACGUUCCCGGGCCUUGUACACACCGCCCGUCACACCACGAAAGUUGGCUGGACCCGAAGUCGCUAACCUAACCUUAGGGAAGGAUGCGCCGACGGUCUGGUCGAUGAUUGGGGUGAAGUCGUAACAAGGUAGCCGUAGGGGAACCUGCGGCUGGAUCACCUCCUUU